rnacentral:sRNA from 1 species
ACAGAUGUAGUGAAAGCAUUGUGUCUCGGGGCACGGUGUGUUGGGGUUGGGAGGGCGCCGUUGUUCGGCCUUGGUGCCGGUGGCGUUGAGGGGGUUGAGCGAGUAUUGGAGAUUCUCUCCACUGAAACGGCAACAGCCAUGCGACUCCUGGGCGUCGAAAAAGUUGAUGAUCUAGGCAUGCAGCACAUUAAUGCCCGUGCCGUGGAGCAACAAAUAUAUGAUGGACCAGCAGGACUGCACGCACUGGAUCGCUUGGUUAAGCCUAAAAUAUAAUUUCGAAAUUCUAAACUUCUUGCUUUGUGUAUCUACCUACAUAGACAUACUUUUGGUUGUGAGUGUGUGUGUGUGUGUGCGCGUUUGAUCCAUCGGAAUUUAUGUGUCUCUUAGUACGCAAGAGUGUCAGUUCUACUAGUUAAAGAGUUUUUUCUACCGCCCGAAUGGCAUUAUUCAUAUAUUUCAUAUCACAAGAAUGAUCCUACUUGCCAUCCCACUAUUAUUUCAUUCCUGAGAGCUAAAUUCUAGCUAUCUGUUAUCAAUACCUCCCAGCACAAUCCAAUCCACAAUCC